rnacentral:lncRNA from 1 species
AUAGCCAUUUCUUAAUUUAUAAAAAGCUAAUUAAUUAAAAUUUUGGUUAACAUGUGUUAAUACUAUUUUGACUUUAAAAUAAUCAAAAUAUAAAUAACAUUUUAAAUUAACUAUUAAUAUUUAACAAACAUACUUUGUUUUCUUUUAAAACCAACUCUAAAAUUCUGCACUCAGAACACAAAAUUCUACAUCACAAAAUUAUAUAGCAAAAAUUCUAUAGCGAAAAAUAUAAAGCUAAAUCGUAACCAAUCAGAUCCAAUAUCUAUUUUUCAUCAGCUUGUUUUAACUCUUUUCCUUUUCUUUCAUGCAGAUUAGCAUAGGGAGAAUUUCAAUUCUAUUACAGUUUGAUACCAUUUUUUAAAUUUAUCCUUAAAAGAUAAUAUUUUAUAAAUACCUUAAAUUUGUGAUAAAAUUAAAUUAAAUCUCCUUAAU